rnacentral:rRNA from 1 species
AUCAACUUUCGAUGGUAGGAUAGAGGCCUACCAUGGUGGUAACGGGUAACGGGGUGUUAGGGCACGACACCGGAGAGGGAGCCUGAGAAACGGCUACCACAUCCAAGGAUGGCAGCAGGCGCGCAAAUUACCCAAUCCCGACACGGGGAGGUAGUGACAAUAAAUAACAAUACGGGGUUCUUUCGGAUCUCGUAAUUGGAAUGAGUACAAUUUAAAUCUCUUAACGAGGAACAAUUGGAGGGCAAGUCUGGUGCCAGCAGCCGCGGUAAUUCCAGCUCCAAUAGCGUAUAUUAAAGUUGUUGCAGUUAAAAAGCUCGUAGUUGAAUUUCGGGGUUAGUAGGUUGGUCAUGCCUCUGGUAUGUACUGAUCUCACUGAUUCCUCCUUCCUUAUGAACCGUAAUGCCAUUAAUUUGGUGUUGCGGGGAAUCAGGACUGUUACUUUGAAAAAAUUAGAGUGUUUAAAGCAGGCUAACGCUUGAAUACAUUAGCAUGGAAUAAUGAAAUAGGACGUUCGAUCUUAUUUUGUUGGUUUCUAGGAUUGACGUAAUGAUUAAUAGGGAUAGUUGGGGGCAUUAGUAUUCAAUUGUCAGAGGUGAAAUUCUUGGAUUUAUUGAAGACUAACUACUGCGAAAGCAUUUGCCAAGGAUGUUUUCAUUAAUCAAGAACGAAAGUUAGGGGAUCGAAGACGAUCAGAUACCGUCGUAGUCUUAACCAUAAACUAUGCCGACUAGGGAUCGGAUGAUGUUAAUUUAUUAAUGACUCAUUCGGCGCCUUACGGGAAACCAAAGUGUUUGGGUUC